rnacentral:sRNA from 1 species
AGUGUAAGCAAGAGGGUGAGCGUGGUCAGAGUAAAGCUGCUCCACCCCCAGACUGCAAUGCUACCAAUAAAACCACCUGGUGUUUACAACUAAUUGAUCACAACCAGUUACAGAUUUCUUUCUUUCUUCUCCACUCCCACUGCUUGACUAGCCUUAA